rnacentral:rRNA from 1 species
CCUACGGGUGGCAGCAGUGGGGAAUAUUGGACAAUGGGGGGAACCCUGAUCCAGCCAUGCCGCGUGUGUGAAGAAGGCCCUCGGGUUGUAAAGCACUUUCAGUGAGGAAGAACGCCUGGUGGUUAAUACCCAUCAGGAAAGACAUCACUCACAGAAGAAGCACCGGCUAACUCCGUGCCAGCAGCCGCGGUAAUACGGAGGGUGCGAGCGUUAAUCGGAAUUACUGGGCGUAAAGCGCGCGUAGGUGGCUUGAUAAGCCGGUUGUGAAAGCCCCGGGCUCAACCUGGGAACGGCAUCCGGAACUGUCAAGCUAGAGUGCAGGAGAGGAAGGUAGAAUUCCCGGUGUAGCGGUGAAAUGCGUAGAGAUCGGGAGGAAUACCAGUGGCGAAGGCGGCCUUCUGGACUGACACUGACACUGAGGUGCGAAAGCGUGGGUAGCAAACAGGAUUAGAUACCUGGGUAGUC